rnacentral:lncRNA from 1 species
CGCCCAUUUGGUUUGGAUGAGAUUGAUCUGAAUUCAAAUUCAAAUCUGAUUUAAAUUCAAAUUCAAAUCUGAUUUGAAUUCAAGUUCAAAUCACAUAAGGAUUAAUCCUUAUCUUGAAAGAGUUUGAUUUCACCUAAACUCUCUUGGAUGCCAUUCAUAAAAGGGAUCCUUCCUUUGGCAUUAAAAAUAAGAUUUUCACCAUGAGAAAAUUGUGAGAGG